CUACACACAUAUCACUUUCCACCAUGCUGCUCAUGUUAGAGCCGCUUACCGGGAAAACUUAAGAACCGAUCUCAGUACCGGCCAGCUUUUCCAAAGACUUGAGAACCAAACGAUGAUCUAACCGACAACAUUAAUCCACAACAACAACUAUUUAGCAGAGAAUGGCUACUUCUGUUAAAAUAAUGGGGGGAAACUGGAAUGCCCAAUGGUCAACGGAUGUAGAAAAUGAAGUCCCGCCUUACAGGAACUGUUGUGAGUUGAUUCUGGGCAGUCAGCCAAGUGAUCCAGUCGUUGCUCAUUUGGCGCCAGCGGACGAGUCAGCCCUCCAGGGUCUGGCAGUCAGGCCUGUGUCCAAACACCCUGCACAUCCAAUUCCGGGGAGUGUUUUGAGUCAUUCUUCCCCUUGGCAGACUCCCCCACCAGCGGUGAGUUGUAGAGCAAUCUAUCAGAGACAUGGAGUGGUUGAACAUCUCCACUGUGCAGGGUGGCCCCUCACCCUCUAAAUAGG